GAUGAACGCUGGCGGCGUGCCUAAUACAUGCAAGUCGAGCGAACAGACGAGGAGCUUGUUCCUCUGACGUUAGCGGCGGACAGGGGAGUAAUACGUGGAGAACCUACCUAUAAGACUGGGAUAACUUCGGGAAACCGGAGCUAAUACCGGGUAAUAUAUUGAACCGCUUGGUUCAAUAGUGAAAGACGGUUUUGCUGUCACUUAUAGAUGGAUCCGCGGCGUAUUAGCUAGUUGGUAGGGUAACGGCUUACCAAGGCAACGAUGGGUAGCCGACCUGAGAGGAGGGUCGGCCGCACUGGAACUGAGAAACGGUCGAGACUCCUACUAGAGGCAGCAGUAGGGAAUCUUACGCAAUGGGCGACAGCAUGACGGAGCAACGCCGCGUGGGUGAUGAAGGUCUUCUGAGCGUAAAACUCUGUUAUUGGGGAAGAACAAAUGUGUAAGUGACUAUGCACGUCUUGACGGUACCUAAUCAGAAAGCCACGGCUAACUACGUG
rnacentral:rRNA from 1 species